UCUCCAAGCUGACCUGCAUCGACUCCCGACCUCAUUCUCCAACCUAAGCCUACUGGAGCCGCCUCCAACCUGACCCCGAGUCCCCGACCUCGCUCUCUGACCCCGAGUUCCCCUGCCUCGCUCUGACCCCGAGUCCCCGAUCUAGUUUUCCAGACCUCGAGCUUGAGCUCCGAUCUGACCUCGAGCUUAUUAGCCGACCUGAGCUUGUCAUUCUCCAACAGGAAGAUCGGGAGUUGAAGGUUUUCAAGAAGGAAGAAAGGAUAGGAGCAGGGUAUUUUGCAUGUUUUCGUUCUUCUAAAGUCUGCUAAACCCAUUGAUGGUGCUGCAAGAAAGAGGUACAAACCAAGACCCAUGAGGGCUGAAAGAGGCAAUGAGUUGCAUAAUGGGAAGUUGAUUGUGCAGAAUUGCGGAUUUCGGAGUUGGCCUGAUGGGAUUCAGUCAAUGGCUCUCUCGCUAUUUCCUUUAUCAAUAAUGUUGGGGUUGAUUGAUUUUGAUUACAGUUUGUAAUUUGAUGUUUCAACAGUCUGCUGUGGGGUUGCUUAUAAAUUUAACGCAUAGACAUCUACUUACAGUUUUAGAGAAAUUUGUUCUGCAAUUUUAAUUGGAUAGUGAGAAAUGUGAUUGGGGAAGUUCAGUUUGUUGGAUUGGGGGUGUGAGAUUAUUGUUUGAUUCGUUAAAUUAGAGGUUGUUGAAAAUUAUAUUCGGACAUCUAUUUGCCGUUAUGCAGAUUAUAUUUAUUCUCUGUUUUAUAACAAUUUUGGUGUUUAAUGGUUCUGUUUCUGAUUCUGCCAAUUAGUUUUUUGUUUUUUUCUGUGGAGGUUUUAGUUUUUAGAUUAUAUAUAGUACUUGAUUUCUUGGUUAUUGAUGUUUUGAGUUUAGCUAGAUUAUAAAGCAUGAAAUUGAUGUUUUGAUACUUUUUAUCUUUCAGAGUUAAUCUUUAUGUCAAUGAAAUACUCCAAAGCUUACCAACAUUUAGGAAUCUCAAUCAUUUGAACUUGGACCUCUAUUCAUAUUGAACUAAACGUGAAGAUGUUGAUCUGGUGCCUGAUUCCAAAUUCUAACAAGACUGAUAAGGCUUCAAUGCUGGAUGAAGCAGUUGAGUAUUUGAAGCAGCUCCAGCUUCAAGUACAGGUCAGA